UACGGAGGGUGCAAGCGUUGUCCGGAUUUAUUGGGUUUAAAGGGUGCGUAGGCGGCUUUUUAAGUCAGUGGUGAAAUCCUACAGCUUAACUGUAGAACCGCCAUUGAUACUGAAGAGCUUGAGUACAGACGAGGUAGGUGGAAUUUAUGGUGUAGCGGUGAAAUGCAUAGAUACCAUAAAGAACUCCUAUUGCGAAGGCAGCUUACUAGGCUGUAACUGACGCUGAGGCACGAAAGCGUGGGGAUCAAACAGG
rnacentral:rRNA from 1 species